rnacentral:rRNA from 1 species
UACAUGGGGUGCCAACGUUGCUCGGAAUUAUUGGGCGUAAAGCGCACGUAGGCGGUUCGUUACGUCGGAUGUGAAAGCCCUCGGCUCAACUGAGGAAGUGCACCCGAAACUGGCGAGCUUGAGUACGAAAGAGGAUCGCGGAAUUCCCGGUGUAGAGGUGAAAUUCGUAGAUAUCGGGAGGAACACCGGUGGCGAAGGCGGCGAGCUGGGUCGAUACUGACGCUGAGGAGCGAAAGCGUGGGGAGCGAACAGG